UUGUGUAUUUUCUUUUGUUUUUCGUUUAAAAAGGAAAAAGGUCACUUUUUAGUGUUUUUUUUAAAUUGCUAGGAUGGCAAAAACUUGUGUCGUUUGUGCCGCAUCAAUAUAAAAAGGCGAUUCAAGCCGAUCUUUUCAGAAAUUGCAUAAUGACCAUGCCCAAAGGGAACAAUAGAUUUCAUUACUGGAAAUCAACACGAUUAAAAAGAACAUAUUUGUUUGUGCAGAUCGCUUAUAUGAGGAAGAUGAUACUAUCAGUAGGACUUUAUUAAAAAAAUCAGCUCUACCGCAAAGAUCUGAUCAUUCAUCAUCAACAAUAACUGCAUCUGAGAUUAAUAGUUCUACAGAAACCGUGGGGUCUAGGUCAACAAUUAAUAUUUCUCAUCCAAGUCGUUUUAGUUCAACUGCUACACAAACCCUGGCUCCGCUAAGGAAAAGGUAAAAAUACACUCAAAAUAGACAUAUCACAUUUAAAAAUUAUUGUUCAAUUCUUUCUCUAGGUACAAAUAAGAGUUUUAUGUCAUGUAUGGUAGUUCUUAUUUAUGAGUAAUCAUCAUUAGUUUUUUAUUUAAAAGUAUUUGUUUAAUUACAUGCAAUUAAUUAUUAAAAUGUAUGAUAUUAUAAAAAUUAUUAAUUACAUUUAGUUGAUCAAUUGGAAUAUUAUAAUACUUUACUUAUUUAUUUUUUCUAGGGUAAAAUCAAAACAAUAUCCUGGAGCCCUAAAAUAUAAAAAUUUGAGCCUAUAUUAUUCUCAUAAAAUCAUCCAUAAUUAUCCUACAAGGAACAACACCAAUCUUGGAUCUGAUUUCUGCCGAUUUGAGAGAUCCAAAAGCGGCUCCAGAUACCUAUGUGUAAAGUUCUAUAACUGUGUACCAGCCAGAGCAAAGGUUUUAAAUUUGAACCAAUAUAAAAAGGAAAUUAAAUGUUUUCUUUUAGAAAAAGCUUUUCAUUUAUUUGGGGAGUACUUUGAGGAGUACUUUUUUUUCUGAAUCAAAUUUUAAUUUGUCUUAGUUCUUUUAAUGUGUUUUGAAAGUGUAUUUUAAUUGAAUUUUACC